rnacentral:rRNA from 2 species
AGCAGCCGCGGUAAUUCCAGCUCCAAUAGCGUAUAUUAAAGUUGUUGCAGUUAAAAAGCUCGUAGUUGAAUUUCGGGAUCAAUUUAUCGGUCGUGCCAAUGGUAUGAACUGGUACAAUUGGUUUCUCCCUUCUGACGAAGCAUGAUGUCAUUAAUUUGGUGUCGUGGGGAAUCAGGACUGUUACUUUGAAAAAAUUAGAGUGUUUAAAGCAAGCAUUAGCUUGAAUACAUUAGCAUGGAAUAAUGAAAUAGGACGUUUGAUCCUAUUUCGUUGGUUUCUAGGAUCGACGUAAUGAUUAAUAGGGAUAGUUGGGGGCAUUAGUAUUCAAUUGUCAGAGGUGAAAUUCUUGGAUUUAUUGAAGACUAACUACUGCGAAAGCAUUUGCCAAGGAUGUUUUCAUUAAUCAAGAACGAAAGUUAGGGGAUCGAAGACGAUCAGAUACCGUCGUAGUCUUAACCAUAAACUAUGCCGACUAGGGAUCGGAUGAUGUUAAUUUUUUAAUGACUCA